CUAUAAGCACCGCACCAGACACCAUAAGCACUGUAGUCCCUUAGCCGCCACAGCUUGGCUGGGGUAUCGCUGUCCUGGAUCCUUGACUUAAGACAAGGAUCCAGCUUCCAGUGGGUGGACCUCUCCUCCUCCAGAGACUAUAGCAGGUCUGGCUGUGUAGCUCUAACAAGAGCUAGUGAUUAUAGCCAGUAUAGCAAUCCGAAGCAGGUAUAGUUGCUUCCUACAAUCACGAGACGUG